GAGAGAGAGAGAGAGAGAGAGAGAGAGAGAGAGAGAGAGAGAGAGAGAGAGAGAAGGAAGGAAAGAAAGAGUGAGCGGGUACAGGGCGAGAUAAAGGAUAGAAGGAGAGGUUGCAAGUAGGUGCAGCUUUUUACAGACAGCUUCUUCCCCAUCUUGGAAAUAAUAGAAUGCUGUAUCCCCGCGGAUCCGUGAAGAGAGACAUUGCAAUGCCGAGGAUUGGCAUCACUUCUUAAGAGACCCGUUAUAUUUACCGAGCCCGCGUUACUGCCGCUGCUGCCGAUUCCCAUUGCACUGCUGCAUUUCCUCGCUGCCCUGAAAAGAAAAAUCAAUGCUUUUCACUAUACCGAAGCAGGCUUCCAGUGCUCCCAGUACAGCUAUUUGGGGGAAAAAAAAAAAAAAAAAGCAAAAACGAAGAUUUUGUUUUUCACUGUACAAAAGUGGGAACUUUCUUACCCUUUUGUGUCUGAUCUUCCAAACUACAAGAUGCAGGCAGCCGGGCGUUUGUGGAAGACGUGUGGCUGAGAGGGAGUCGGUUGCUAUCUUUGGUUAUCUAGCUGUAUGAGUGUUAUUCAGCCGUCAUAAAGCUAGAUAACCGAAAAUAGAAAUGACUUCCAAACCUGCGUACUGCUCAAGAAAAAAAGCAAGCCAGAAAGGAAGAAUGAAGACACACGAAAUGACCGACAUCUAAGGCGACAAAAUAAAGCAACUGACGAAGACUCAAAAUAAGGACAUCAAUGAACUGUGCAGUCCUUUAUUGAUCAAGGAAUGGCCUGAUUUUGAAGGCUGCCCUGGAACCACAGCAUUGUGGAGGAUGUCAGUGUAAAGCAAGAGUCUGCCAGCUAUUCCCAACAGUGCCUUGAUGGAGAAAGGAAAAAAAAAAUAUUAUAAUUUUAAAUGCCAACCUCCCCGCUCCCAACACUGCCCCUUUCCCCCUAACCUCCCUCCGGAGACUCUAGUGCCAUCUGUGCCCCCUGAGAAUCGGAGAGAAAGAGAAACGCUCCCACUGAUGCCAACCGGGAAAAAGCCGCUGCAGUCAUCCGCCCUGCCAGAUGCCAUUUUGUGUGCCGGAGGACUCCUGUUUGUGUGGGUGUGCUGAGGAGGCCAUCUUGUAAAGAAAUCCUCACUGCUGCUCCUAAAAUGGCUGCGUUGGCACAAGGGGGCUGGUUUCCGCGAUGCUCGAGAUCCAGGCGAGCAAGUGAAAGAAAGAGAAUGAUGUCGGUCUGGACAUGGACGGGAUCUGCGCAGGCGCGUCGCCUAGAGACACAACUGAAUUCACACUGCCAGCUGGACAAGGAUCAAUCCAUUAAGAAGCCGUGCCCGCUGCUUUGUUCCAAGACAGCCUGGAAAGAGACUGGACUUGAGCAAGCUUGCUGAUUGUGGAAUUUUUUUUGCAAAGGAAGAGCCUGGGUUAACUUGUAAAUUCACUUCUGUAUAGGAGAUGAGCCUUCACCGCACUGGGGAUGAAUACUGAACAUCACAGAGAUUUGAAGAGAUGCUGAAAAUAAGAGACUUGCAGUUUUAAUGACUCUCAGCCUGCGCGUGAUUCCACAAUAAAUGAGUGUAUCCCAGAUAUUCGGAUUAUUUAGGAUUCUCCUUAUAACAGGAGUACUGUAUGUUUCAGCAUUUUUUAUGACCUGACUGUUUAAAAGUAGAUUUACCAUUUACGUAACCGUUAGAUUACAAAGUGCAAAGCCAAUUAUCAUGAAGAGGUAAGAAGGCUCAUUUGUGGAACAGCUUUAUGGAUUGUACCCCUAUGGCAUGGCCAGGGUUCCCUCAUUGGAUAAGAAGCCCCAACUUAUAUGAUAACUAGAGGGGGGAAUCAAAUAUACAAGGAGAGCUCAACAUUGGUACGAGAUGAUAAAUAUCAUGGUUUUCGCAUCACAAGUCAGAUGUUUGUCUCCAAAUACACUUGAAGCAUCCUAUAGUCAUAGCUAUCAAGUGCAUUUGAAUAAACAAUCAGUUCCGUGCUGCUGCCACUCUGAUUGUCACAACAGUCGUUAAGAGGCUGGCUGUGCUGUGCUGUGAAUGGGAGUCUUGGUGAUGUUGUUUAGUGCAGGAUUUAGAAUCACAGUGAAAGUGAAUGGCACUUCCCACUUGUCAUAGAGUGUGUCUAAGCUUGCCUGAAUUAAAGACACGCUUGUCCCACUCAUCUAGAAGGUGUUACAGGGAGCUUCUUGUGAUUUCCCAGCUCCUCCACCCGAGCAACGACAACAGGCUCCCAAAUAGCAAGCCUGCCACACUGCCAGCAUGCCAGCCCCCUCAGCACAGAGACUGUGGCACAGGCCCUCUACCCCACACAGGGGUCACUUCACCAAUGUGUCACACUCCUAUAUUUAGCAACUACUGAUGUAUUUCAGCAGGGAGUUGGCUCAUCAGGAGAUAAAAAAAGGAAGCUUGUAACUUUAAAAUUCUGAUGAAAGCUGGGUGAGGCAAGGAAAGAAAGCGAGAUGGAUUUGGUAGACCUAAUACUGGCAUGUGUGCCAGUGUGCUUGUGUGUGAGUGUGUGGGUUCAGAGUACCUGUGAUAGAAAUCAACAACACAUCCAUGUGUUUCUGUGAAUGGGAAAUCAAAUGAACAACUUUGAUUGUGUGUUUUUAACAGUCAAAGACAUCAUAUAUGUUGGUGCCCACCUGUGCUAUUUCUAGAACAUAUUUCAGCUCAGUCUAGUCAAUGUGACGCUAAUCAAUCUGAUCACAGAACAGCAUGUUUGCAGGCUCCCUUGAAAGAGCUGCCAGGAGGGAAAUUGUUUUGUGCCACAGUGGUGGAGUUCAUAUAACCUUGUCAAAGCAAAGGAAGAAAAUUAACAGUCAGUUGAUGUACCUGAGACCCCAUUUAAAAGCAAGCAUUGUUUAUAUUAGACACACAAAAGUUGAUGGAAUAUUGGCAUUCAAAUUGCAGAAUAAAAUACCUGUUUCUUUUUUUUAAUUCAAAAAUCUUACAAUCGGAUAUCACUGUGAUGCCUCUAUCCAAGCAUGUCCCAUUGUGUGUUUAUUGUGAUAUCCACAACUGUGGGAUAGAAGUUCUUACCACAUCCACAAUCCAUUAUAUAUAAUAUUGAACACCUUAAAAAAAUAAUGUGUUUUUAUGAAUUAAUAUACACCGUUUUGAAAUAAGCAAUCGAAAUCAGCAAAAUAAAAUAUGUUUACAAAUACAUAUCCUGCAACAGGUGAUUAGGACAUGGAGUAGUCGUCUUAGACAAUUAUUCCCGUGGAGACAAAGUGAAACAUAUUCAGUCUUGUGUGUGGGGACACGUUGCAGUCACAUGGGAAGCAGUGUGUUAAUGAGUGCUGUGUUUACAGAAGAAAACAAGGGCUUCUUUUAGCAGAAUAAUAUGAUCGUGAGCAAACACAGGCCUGGGGCUGGUGGAAAUAACCUGUGGAGAUGAGUUACACUAUGCCAGCAUCCUGCCUUAAAACUGCUGUAAAUAAACAUAUUUCAUACGUUCAUAUAUGACCUGAUCUAUAGCAUUUAGGCAAUAAAGCAUGACAGGGUGUGUUUUGUUGUGGGAUAUCGCUGUGCCUCUGGCUAUGGGUCAAUUUCAAAGACAAAACUACUUUUAAAGAGAACCCUGGCGAUGCUCAGAGAUAUCGCCAUAGCUAUGACACCACAUAGCAUAUUGAAAUAAACAGGAUGAUCUUUGCUGUUGUAUAAUAAUCCAUUUUAAUCCAAGACCAUCCAUAAUGAGACAUCACUAUCAUACCAAAACUUGCUAUAGUGAUAAAAUGUAUCAGAUUUUGUUUUGUAUUUAAUGCAUAUUUUUAAUGAUAAAUUGAGAAAUGAAACGUUCCAGCUCAUUGUUAAUAUAGUGAUUUAUCAGUUUAUCAAUUACUUUAUUAUGUAUUGAUUCUCCUUGGAUAUAGAGCUGUUUGCUUUUUUUAUUCUUUGUACUCUCUCUGUAGACAUUAUUUGAAUAUAUGAAAUUAUAUUUUGCCUUGAUAAAGGGUUUAUCAACAUCUAUGUACACUAUCGUAUAUUUUUCUAAGCAAGUAUAUG